CGGGAAUCAAACGAGGCGCCGAAGCCAAGGAAGCAUUCGCACCCGCGAGAGCUUGCGAGGAAGAGUGGGAGGGAGGGAUGGCGGCGGGGGCGGCGCCGCAGGGGGCGCCGACGGUGGAGGAGCAGGAGGAGGCGGCGGGGGUGGGGAUCCUGCUGCAGAUAUCGAUGCUGGUGCUGGCGUUCGUGCUCAGCCACCUCCUCCGCCGCCGCAGGGUCUACUACCUCCCCGAGGCCAGCGCGUCGCUCCUCAUCGGGUUGAUCGUGGGAGGGCUUGCUAGCGUAUCUAACGCCCAGAAAAGUACAAGGAGAUGGUUCAAUUUCCGGGAGGAGCUCUUCUUUCUGUUCUUGCUGCCUCCUAUCAUAUUCCAGUCCGGCUUCAGCUUAGCACCAAAACCAUUCUUCUCAAACUUUGGUGCUAUUAUUACUUUUGCAAUCGUUGGAACCUUAAUUGCCUCCAUUGUCACCGGUGUUUUAGUCUACCUUGCUGGGUUAAUACAUCUUGUCUAUAGGAUGCCUCUGGUUGAGUGUAUGAUGUUUGGUGCCCUUGUGUCAGCAACUGAUCCUGUAACUGUGCUGUCGAUAUUUCAGGAACUUGGCACGGAUGUGAACCUCUAUGCGCUGGUUUUCGGUGAAUCUGUGCUAAAUGAUGCUAUGGCAAUCUCCUUGUACAGGACUAUGGCAUCUCUGAGGACGAAUGCUUCUAGCCAAAACAUUUUCAUAGUUAUCUUAAGGUUUCUUGAGAACUUCUUUGGGUCAAUGUCAACAGGUGUUGGAGCUGGAUUUAUUUCUGCUCUCCUCUUCAAGUAUUCAACACUCGGUGUUGAGAACCUUUAUAACCUCGAGAGCUGCUUGUUUGUGCUUUUCCCAUACUUCUCGUACAUGCUAGCUGAAGGCUUUGGUCUGUCUGGCAUAGUCUCAAUACUCUUUACUGGAGUCGUAGGUUCAACUUAAAUGAGGCAGUCAGGAAUUAUUAUUUCUGCCUGAAGUUAUUUACUUGAUAGUGGAACUUCUCUUUCUAGGUGAUGAAGAGAUACACAUUCUCAAACUUGUCAGAGGACUCCCAGCGUUUCACUGCUGCACUUUUCCAUCUGCUUUCGUCAUUAGCAGAAACUUUUGUAUUCAUAUAUAUGGGAUUUGAUAUUGCGAUGGAGCGUCAAAGCUGGUCACACAUUGGGUUCAUAUUUUUCUCAGUUAUCUUCAUAUUAGUUGCAAGGGCUGCAAAUGUUUUCUCGUGUGCUUUCUUGGUAAAUAUGGUACGGCCACCUCAGCGGCAAAUAUCCAGGCAAUAUCAACAGGCACUUUGGUAUAGUGGUCUUAGAGGGGCUAUGGCUUUUGCCCUUGCUCUUCAAUCUGUUCAUGAUCUUCCUGACGGCCAUGGACAGACAAUUCUGAGUGCUACCAUAUCUAUUGUUGUUCUAACAGUACUUCUGAUUGGAGGCUCAACAAGCACAAUGCUUGAAGCUCUGCAUGUUGUGGGAGAUGGUAAUGAUGGUCGUCGCCCUUCUUCACUUGAGGACCAGGAGAACUAUGAGGGGAACAAUAAUGCGGGCAACAUAGAAUUGGGCAAUGAAGAGCGGACUUCUACCACAAGCAAUUUCAAACUGAAACUCCAAGAAAUCCAGAAAAACACGACCUCCUUGGCCGCAUUGGACAGAAACUACCUCACUCCAUUUUUCACAUCUCAAAACGGCGAUAGCGAUGACGACGAACAUGGUCCUAACGGAGCGCCGCGGAGAUCUAACCAGCUGCAAGACCUGGAGAGCCAUGGAUUACCGACUCGAGAGACGGGCUGAAGAGCUCCAUUUGAACGGUGUCGCGCAAUCGCUUCCGUGUCACCAUUAGGCCAAGGCAGUAUCUGACACUCCAACUAACAAACACAGAGGAAAGACAUAGUAGCAUCUUAUGGGCCGUCGACAAUGAUAGCUUGCUCCACAUGUAAGUAGAUGAUAGGACCUGCACGUUUAAGUUACCAGGUUAGCAACGCUAGCAGAUGUUCUCUGAAGAGAAUGGAAGAUCUUGUACUGUGCUGUGCUCUUUUUCUUUACAGUUGGAUGUUGAAUCGAACUGGUCCCAGAUCCCAGUGGAGGGAAGGACUUGAUUCUAUCACCCUGCCAAGCAAGGCAUCCAUGUGUCUUUUCCCUUUUUCCUCUUUUUAUUUGCC
rnacentral:rRNA from 1 species